rnacentral:rRNA from 1 species
AGUGAACGCUGGCGGCAGGCCUAACACAUGCAAGUCGAACGGCAGCACAGUAAGAGCUUGCUCUUACGGGUGGCGAGUGGCGGACGGGUGAGGAAUACAUCGGAAUCUACUUUUUCGUGGGGGCUAACGUAGGGAAACUUACGCUAACACCGCAUAUGACCUACGGGGGUAAGCACGCGAUCUUCGGACCUUGCGCGAUUGAAUGAGCCGAUGUCGGAUUAGCUAGUUGGCGGGGUAAAGGCCCACCUAGGCGACGAUCCGUAGCUGGUCUGAGAGGAUGAUCCGCCACACGGGAACUAAGACGCGGUCCAGACUCCUACGGGAGGCAGGAGUGGGAAAUAUUGGAGAAUGGGCGGAAGCCUAUACCAGCCAUACGGCGUGGGUGAAAAAGGCCUUCGGGUUGUAAAGCCCUUUUGUUGGGAAAGAGAAGCAGCAGGUUAACACCCCGCUGUUCGAACGGUACCCAAAGAAUAAGCACCGCCUACCUUCGU